GUGGGAGCCCAGGCAGAGGAGGCACCGAGAGCGAGCAAGGGCUGUGAGGACUGCCAGCACGCUGUCACCUCUCAUAUCUAUGCUGACUGAUGGAGUCAAGUGACAGAUAUGGAAAGUUUACAAGACUGACCUGGAAGAAUUCAGAAACAAGAUAAACAGCGACAUCAUGAACAACCACCACCACCAAAAUGAAAGCAUACCAGACGAACUUAUACUGUGGGACCUAGAAUGAUAACUCUGAUUACUGAACA